rnacentral:rRNA from 1 species
AGAUUGAACGCUGGCGGCAUGCCUAACACAUGCAAGUCGAACGGGAGUAGCAAUACUCUAGUGGCGGACGGGUGAGGAAUACGUAGGAAUUUGCCCUUAAGUGGGGGAUAACCCGGGGAAACCCGGAUUAAUACCGCAUGACCUCGAAAGAGCAAAGUGGGGGAUCGCAAGACCUCACGCUUUUGGAGAAGCCUACGUCGGAUUAGCUAGUUGGUGAGGUAAUGGCUCACCAAGGCGACGAUCCGUAACUGGUCUGAGAGGAUGAUCAGUCACACCGGAACUGAGACACGGUCCGGACUCCGUACGGGAGCAGCAGGUGGGAAUAGUUGGACAAGUGGGCGCAAGCCUGACUCCAGUCAAUCGGCCGCGUGUGUAGGAAGAACGGUCCGUUCGGGUUAGUAAACGGACUUAACGUUUAAAGGUUACGGGUAAAAGUAAAAAAACCGU